GGGGAUUUAGCUCAGUGGUAGAGCGCUUGCCUAGCAAGCGCCCUGGGUUCGGUCCCCAGCUCUG
rnacentral:tRNA from 1 species